rnacentral:rRNA from 1 species
GAUGAACGCUGGCGGCGUGCCUAAUACAUGCAAGUCGAGCGAACGGACGAGAAGCUUGCUUCUCUGAUGUUAGCGGCGGACGGGUGAGUAACACGUGGAUAACCUACCUAUAAGACUGGGAUAACUUCGGGAAACCGGAGCUAAUACCGGAUAAUAUUUUGAACCGCAUGGUUCAAAAGUGAAAGACGGUCUUGCUGUCACUUAUAGAUGGAUCCGCGCUGCAUUAGCUAGUUGGUAAGGUAACGGCUUACCAAGGCAACGAUGCAUAGCCGACCUGAGAGGGUGAUCGGCCACACUGGAACUGAGACACGGUCCAGACUCCUACGGGAGGCAGCAGUAGGGAAUCUUCCGCAAUGGGCGAAAGCCUGACGGAGCAACGCCGCGUGAGUGAUGAAGGUCUUCGGAUCGUAAAACUCUGUUAUUAGGGAAGAACAUAUGUGUAAGUAACUGUGCACAUCUUGACGGUACCUAAUCAGAAAGCCACGGCUAACUACGUGCCAGCAGCCGCGGUAAUACGUAGGUGGCAAGCGUUAUCCGGAAUUAUUGGGCGUAAAGCGCGCGUAGGCGGUUUUUUAAGUCUGAUGUGAAAGCCCACGGCUCAACCGUGGAGGGUCAUUGGAAACUGGAAAACUUGAGUGCAGAAGAGGAAAGUGGAAUUCCAUGUGUAGCGGUGAAAUGCGCAGAGAUAUGGAGGAACACCAGUGGCGAAGGCGACUUUCUGGUCUGUUACUGACGCUGAUGUGCGAAAGCGUGGGGAUCAAACAGGAUUAGAUACCCUGGUAGUCCACGCCGUAAACGAUGAGUGCUAAGUGUUAGGGGGUUUCCGCCCCUUAGUGCUGCAGCUAACGCAUUAAGCACUCCGCCUGGGGAGUACGACCGCAAGGUUGAAACUCAAAGGAAUUGACGGGGACCCGCACAAGCGGUGGAGCAUGUGGUUUAAUUCGAAGCAACGCGAAGAACCUUACCAAAUCUUGACAUCCUUUGACAACUCUAGAGAUAGAGCCUUCCCCUUCGGGGGACAAAGUGACAGGUGGUGCAUGGUUGUCGUCAGCUCGUGUCGUGAGAUGUUGGGUUAAGUCCCGCAACGAGCGCAACCCUUAAGCUUAGUUGCCAUCAUUAAGUUGGGCACUCUAAGUUGACUGCCGGUGACAAACCGGAGGAAGGUGGGGAUGACGUCAAAUCAUCAUGCCCCUUAUGAUUUGGGCUACACACGUGCUACAAUGGACAAUACAAAGGGCAGCGAAACCGCGAGGUCAAGCAAAUCCCAUAAAGUUGUUCUCAGUUCGGAUUGUAGUCUGCAACUCGACUACAUGAAGCUGGAAUCGCUAGUAAUCGUAGAUCAGCAUGCUACGGUGAAUACGUUCCCGGGUCU